GAUGAAGAACGUAGCGAAAUGCGAUAAGUAGUGUGAAUUGCAGAAUUCAGUGAAUCAUCGAAUCUUUGAACGCACAUUGCGCCUUCUAGUAUUCUGGGAGGCAUGCCUGUUUGAGCGUCAUUAAACCUCUCUCAAGUAUGAUUACUUGGAUGUGAAGGAAGAGUACCUUAAACUUAAGGAGUGUUCUCCUUUGAAAUUGAUUAGCAGAUGGUAAUGUUAUUAAAUCCCUGAUGUUGUAAGAAAUAACAGUGGUUUUGUAGACUAUUAUCUAGCUUUAAAUAUUAAUUUUUAUUAUGGUUGACCUCAAAUCAGGUAAGGAUACCCGCUGAACUUAAGCAUAUCAAUAAGCGGAGGA
rnacentral:misc_RNA from 1 species